rnacentral:ncRNA from 1 species
GAGAAAUUCCAAUCGAACUUGGAGAUAGCUGGUUCUCUCCGAAAUAGCUUUAGGGCUAGCCUCGAGGUAAAGAGUCAUGGAGGUAGAGCACUGUUUGGACUAGGGGCCCUUCUCGGGUUACCGAAUUCAGAUAAACUCCGAAUGCCAUGUACUUAUACUCGGGAGUCAGACUGCGAGUGAUAAGAUCCGUAGUCGAAAGGGAAACAGCCCAGACCACCAG